GACACUGCAAAAAUUUAUUGUCUGCAUUCCCCUAGAUGAUCAGAGCUUCUCCUCUCAAAACUCAUCUCUCUCUCUCUCUCUAAUCUUCACUAUUCUUUCUGGGUAAACAUCAACGAGAAGCACCAAAUUUCUCCAUUGUUAUUCUUGCAACUUAUCUGGAUUCCAAAAUAGUUGAGCAACCGUCAUCAAUUGUCAGCAGCGGCAUUAUCUCCGGCAGAGGUGUAACCACCGGUUUUCAUACAGAUCCGGUGGUUGUCACUAGAUUGAUGAGGUUUUGGUUGGGAUUCGCGACUUGGUGAGAUGUGCAGGUUAUAAGGUUGGUGACCAAGAUGAAAAGCUGGCAGAAGGUAUAAAGCUUUAGCUGGGGUGUUCGAGAGAUUUACUGAGAGACCAAUCAAAGUGGUGAUAUUGUUGAUAGUUCGGGUUCGGCUACGGAUGUGGCGUUUUCGAAUAGUACGAAAAGGGUGUUUGAAGUUGCGGUUGAGUAUUCAAGAACUAUGGGGAAAAUAAAUAAGAAGAGUGCAGGACUGGGGAUGAAACAUUUCGAUCUUAAUUAAGUGGGAGAAGUAGAGUUGCCGCUGUUCAUAACCAGUUUGAACAGGCUAAUUGUUUGUAAGUUUGUAAUAAAGAGGAACGCAUCUUCAUCCUUAGUGAACUGGUUCGUGUUAUCUUAUAUAAAUUUCAAAUAUACAAUAAAUAAUCUGGUAGGUAGCCUUAUUUUACCAUGGCCAGGCAACAUGUUUGUUUAUUAGCACCAUUAGCAGUUGGCACAAAGGGUUUGGGGCCAGGUUGGGUAAAAGGUUCGAUACCAUUUACUUAUAGACAUGUAUGUUGAUUCUAUGGGUCAUGUUUUAUCUCUAGCGCCAAAUGGGUUAAUGGGGUUGAAAGUCUCGUGUAGAAUGUUUUUAAGCAUACAACCUACUAAUUCGUUUAUAAAAAAAUAAAUUAUUGUUGAGUAAUAACAGAAAGAACAAGAAGGACGCAAUUUUCUUUAUUCCAUUAAAAUGAAAGGUUUGGCCUUUUUAAUUUAUAAAUAUUGCUCAAUUUGUACUUCAAACGUUACAGAAUUAAUCAGCCAAAUUAAAUUGUGUUACAACUUAAAGUACAAUAUUUGACUUUAUAAAGUCAAAUUCACUUUAUUUUUCUGUGUUAAUGUCAAAAUGCAGCUAAGAAAUCCAGUUUUGGAGUAUGAUGAGGAUACUCAUGUUGAUUAUACAACCACAAAGUAUUGAGGUUGACUUUACAAAGUCAACUCAUUCGGCCGGCUCAACCAUUUUGGUGGCGUAAAGCAAAUUCAAAAACUUGAGGCCUUUUUCCGAAAAAAAAACCACUAUUUGAGAAAAAAACCUCUUUUACCCGGGCUUGGGACCGACAAAAUAAACUAAAAGGUUUAUUGUUGGCGAAGUUAACUUAAUCUUUUUGUAUUUUUAUAUAUUUUUUGUAUGUGUAAAGAUAAGUUCAGCACAAUCCAAAUAUCAUAUAUAAUUUUUUUUCAAGUUGGAGGCCCUAUUGAUUUGGAGGCCUAAAGCCCAAGCCUCAAAAUACUUGGGCUUGGGCCGGCCCUAAUUCUAAUGCAUGUCAUAUUUUUCUUUCUUGAUGUCAAAAUGCAGUUAGGAAAACCAGUUUUGGAGUAUGCAACUGAUUUAAACUCGUGGGCCGAGUUCUUUUGGUCUCAUGGACUUAUAUCGGAUUCGACAUAUAAAUUGUUCACCUCUGUAUGUAAUUAUUCGCUAUGUGAGUGAAUAUUAUAGAGAUUCGGUCUCUCCAAUAUGCGCAAAAGUUUAUAGUGAAGUAAGCCGCGAAACCAGUAGAUUCGUGGACAAAUAUGAUGUCACUCUCGAUGUUUGUAUUCCGUCGGCACUCUCACAGUCCAAGAUCAUUGUUCCUCAGCAAGUAACCGAGAGGGUCGAUGUUUGUGUGGAAGAUGAAACCGUUAACUAUCUUAACCGACGCGGUGUCCGUAGAGCGCUGCAUGCGCGUUUGGUUGGAGUACGGAAAAUGGGAUGUUUGUAGCAAAGAUGAUGCAGUUAAUGGAAUGGCAUGGAUGAGAGGUGAAACCAGGGACCGAGGACUCAAUUCUCUAAAUUAUUAAUCAGCUGGCAUUCUUCCUUGGAGAAAACAAAGACUCGAUCCGUUGUUCCGUCCUCCUUUUAAUUGUAUUUCCAUUUUGAAUUGUUUAUUUAAAGGUACUCAACUAUUUUUAAAUUGUAUUUCUACUUUAUCACCAAUUUAUGUAACAAUAUGCAUAACUGGACAUCAAAUGAAGAUCUUUGUUGCACAA